AUGUGGUUUAAUUCGAUGCAACGCGAAGAACUACCUGGCGUUGAACUGCAGGCGUAGUCGCGUUGAAAGGGCGGCGAACUCCUUCGGAAGACCUGUAGAGGUGCUGCAUGGCUGUCGUCAGCUCGUGUCGUGAGAUGUUGGGUUAAGUCCCGCAACGAGCGCAACCCUUGCCAUUAGUUGUCAGCGAGUCAUGUCGGAUACUCUAAUGGGACUGCCGGUGACGAGCCGGAGGAAGGUGGGGAUGACGUCAAGUCAGCAUGGCCUUUAUGUCCAGGGCCACACACGUGCUACAAUGGACGGUACAGAGGGACGCAAGACCGCAAGGUGGAGCAAAUCCUCAAAACCGUUCUCAGUUCGGAUUGCAGGCUGCAAUUCGCCUGCAUGAAGCUGGAAUUGCUAGUAAUCGCAGAUCAGCUACGCUGCGGUGAAUACGUUCUCGGGCCUU
rnacentral:rRNA from 1 species